ensembl:lncRNA
GGUUCUGUGUUGUUUUAACAGGGAAUUUGCUUUCACUGUUUCUUCUACAGAGACACCUGAUACAUCUAGUGCCAGUCAAGGGACAACACACAGAGGAAUUCAGCAAUCAAUUGAGGGACUCUACCUUAGUGUGAGGCACCGGAAGCGAACCCUCUACCGUCAGAAUUACAGCAGCAAGUUUCGCCAUCGCCUUCGAAGGAAGCUUGCAGAAGACAAAAAACUCCUUCUUCAGGAGAUACAGAAAUACAAUAAUCUUGUACUAGAAUCGGCAACAAC